UUUUUGGCUGCCACACCUCCUCUAGAUGCAGAAAUACUAGUGAAUUCGCCGCCGGCUACAGGUCGACCACGUGGAGGAGUGGCCAACGCGUUGGAAGCAUAGCCUGAUCAUUCUCCAGUAUCACCCGAAUAGCCUGGCGUAAUCACGGUCAUGGCUGUUUUCCUGAGAAAGGAAGCUUCGGCCUCCGCAUUGGGAUGGGCCCGCGGCGCUUUAGCUUGUUGGUGGGGUAACGGCCUACCAAGGCGACGAUGCGUAGCUGGUCUGAGAGGACGAUCAGCCACACUGGGACUGAGACACGGCCCAGACUCCUACGGGAGGCAGCAGUGGGGAAUCUUGCGCAAUGCGCGAAAGCGUGACGCACCAACGCCGCGUGGGGGAAGAAGGCCCUAGGGUUGUAAAGCACUUUAAGCAGGAAAGAAAAGCGCCGGGUUAAUAACCCGAGCGUAUUGACGGACCUGCAGAAUAAGCACCGGCUAACUCCGUGCCAGCAGCCGGGAAUCGGAGGGUGCGAGCGUAAUCGGAAUUACUG
rnacentral:rRNA from 1 species